CCUACGGGCGGCAGCAGUGGGGAAUAUUGGACAAUGGGGGCAACCCUGAUCCAGCCAUGCCGCGUGUGUGAAGAAGGCCCUCGGGUUGUAAAGCACUUUCAGUGAGGAAGAACGCCUGGUGGUUAAUACCCAUCAGGAAAGACAUCACUCACAGAAGAAGCACCGGCUAACUCCGUGCCAGCAGCCGCGGUAAUACGGAGGGUGCGAGCGUUUAUCGGAAUUACUGGGCGUAAAGCGCGCGUAGGUGGCUUGAUAAGCCGGUCGUGAAAGCCCCGGGCUCAACCUGGGAACGGCAUCCGGAACUGUCAAGCUAGAGUGCAGGAGAGGAAGGUAGAAUUCCCGGUGUAGCGGUGAAAUGCGUAGAGAUCGGGAGGAAUACCAGUGGCGAAGGCGGCCUUCUGGACUGACACUGACACUGAGGUGCGAAAGCGUGGGUAGCAAACAGGAUUAGAUACCCUGGUAGUC
rnacentral:rRNA from 1 species